CCAGCACCACGUAACCCCGAGGUCCCGAGGCCGCCCGCCCGGCGGGAAGGUACUCACGGAUUCCAUGCCCGACGGGGCCACGAAGCGCCCGACCCACGGAGGCUUCCACAGCUAAGAGGAGCCACCAGUGGUGUGAGGAACAGAAAAUGGAGUUGUUGUCUGAAUUCCAUUAUCUUCUCAAGAAGAUAUACUCAUUUAGAAAUAGUGACUCAGAGGGCAGCUGGAAAAGAAGGCAAGCAGUUCUGGCUUGAAGGACUUCAGUCUGGUUAACAGAGUGGGAAGAACAAUGCUGAAGGAGGAAUUUUUUCCUAAGGAGAACUCAUGUGAAACAUCCUGCUUGUUUCAACAGAGCGACGGUUGUUCCUUACAGCAGGUAUUUGCCUCUCCACUUUAGUGAAGUUUCAUAACUAAGCUGUGUAGACUCAGCUAAAGGGUUUGAUUAUGAUGAUGGAUGUGGCUUUGCUGCAUCAUCAGCAAACAGCACAAUGACCAGGAAAUUAGCAAGGAGUAAUAAAGAAACAAGAUCUCCACUGAUGGGACAGGAACUUCAGAGAGUGUUGGGAGGGCUUUUGGGGCAAACACGUGUUGGGUCAAGAUUUUCCACAAACUCAUUCACCCAUCUCUACAGUUACUGUUAAAUAUCUGUGACACACGUGUGUUGAUUCAAUGGUGAAAGGCUUAAAGAUCAGGCUGGGUUGACAUUUUUCUUGUAAGGCUCAAUAUCAUGAAAACAUUUGAAGUGUAAAGAGCUGUAGAACUGGCUAGUUUCACAUGUCAUGCUGAUGCUGUGUGGCUUUGUAAAAGAACUGAUACACUUUGACGCUCUAGGCCUGAAGCAAAUACAAAGCAUAGGACUUCUGAGCAUGGCAAGAGACCGUGAAGCAGCAGCAAGAGAGCACCAGUUCCACUUGGUGUUCUUUUUCUUCAUUCUUCUGAAGAAUUUCUGCCUGAAGCACAGCUACAGUACACUCAUAAAACAUAUCAAGGAAAUACCUGCGUAAUUAACAUUUACUAAAGCAAAAGCCCAAACCUGCAUUCUGCCCAUUUCAAACUUCUGCUGACUUCAUGCAAGCAUAAGGGCCCUAAAAGUAUCCUACUUUCUUAUAAAAAACAAAAUCAGAGUUUAUAAUAGUGUAAGGAAGCAUAAACCUCACUCAUACAGUACCUAUAUAAAAUUACUAACAGUCAGGUUAGCAUGGAUAGUGUGAAAUACACAACUAAAGUCAUGGAUGUUCACAGAAAUGAAAAUGUGAUUAAA